GUUCUGGUAGUAAAUCAGUAGGAAAUUGUGAGAACUUAUGGUGGGGGAGAAUACACCUGAAAAGAGUUUGAAAAGUUUUGUUGACCAAGGCAUCCGAUACGAGGUAACUGUUCCUUACACCGCUCAACAUAAUGGAUUAGUAGACAAAAGAAAUAAAAUAGUCCUAGAUAUGGUUAGAAGCAUAUAAUGAAACAAAGAAAUGUGCCUCAUUGGUUUUGGGGUAAGGCAGUAACCAUUGCAGCCUAUGUCCUAAAUAGAUGUCCUACAAGAAGAAUUAAGAAGGAAGUGUGGUCCCGAAAAAAGUCAAGUUAUCAGGAAAAUGGUAUUCUAGUAAUUCAGAAUUGUUCUAGUUGGGAUUCUAUCAAAGCCAAAGAUAUUAUGAAAUAUGAUAUGAUCAUAUGACCCUCUUCCAAUAUUUUUAUUUAUUUAUUUAAAAAUUUGAAUCAAAUUAAAAUUUGUAAACUCAGUUUCAUUCAACUUGAUGCUAGAAUUUUGCAGAAUACUAUAGCAAAAGCAGAUUGACAUGCAUAUAAUUGCUGCUGUUUUUGUUUGUGUUGAAACAUGUUUCAUUUAGUAUAUCCGAUGUUUGGUUUCUGUGUUAUACAAAUUGGGUAGCUUUGGUCCUUUUGGUUUGGUUUUUUAUGUUUCCUAUUGCAUGAGUGCUAUUGAUUCCUCUUUAUUCAAGCAGUGGUUGCAUAACUUGCAAACUGAGAAUGAAAUUCUAGCCAAUGGUAGGAUGACUUUGAAAGAAGUUCUAAUUCAGGUAAUUAGGCUAUUGAGCGAAAAAUAAGGUAAAGGAUACCAUAAUCUCUAUCUGUAAGAAAAAGUUUUGACAUACAAAUCUGUUGCAAAUUAUUGAGGGGUAAAUCUUAGUUUCAUAUAUGAAGCUAUGGGGGGGAGUUAUUAAGUAGAGAUUAAGACAAGACUGACAUCACAUAGAAUCAAUUUGGUUUCAUGUCCAUGAAAGCUAAAUAUUUCUUACAAUGAUUGAUGGAAAAUUCUUCGAAGAACUGAAAAUAUUUAAACAUGGUUUUGAGGUUUUCAUUUGUAUGGAUAAAACACAUACUAGUAAGCUAUAGUCCAUAGAAAGGUUUCGUGGAAGGCUCUCAAGACUAAAGGAGUUUGUAGUGUGUACAUUAUAGUGAUCAAAGAUUCGGGGUCAUGAACUAGCAUAUGACAUGCAACUUAAUAAUUUUAGCAUUUGUCAAAUGAAUUAUUAUUAUUUUUUUUUUUUUUUGAGAAGGAGGAAUAAAUAAGGAAGGAUUGUAUAAUUAUUUUGGAUUACUUAGUUAAUAAAAAUAAUAGAAAUUUUUAACCUAGGCUCACUCAACUCAACCACCCCCAUUGAAGCCCACAAACAUCAAAGCCUGCAAGAACGCAUAAUGUCUUUCUUCAGUGCCUUCUCGCCGAUUCUGUUUAAUCAUUUAGUUGUGAAACGAAGGAAUAUGUAGGAAAAGAAGGGACUUGAAAAGGAAACAAAUCAAUAAGUAAAAGAGAUCCGAAACUAUCAUCAUCGUCGUUGCUUGAGUCAAGGUAUAUGACAAGGGCAGUUGGUUCGUUUCUUC